AUUCGAGACCUUCUGGGUGGGAAGGAGGCAGCCAUGUGGUGAUCUGGGGAAGAGUGCUGCAAGCAGAAAGGCAAGUAAAAACAAAAGCCCUGAGGCAGAAAUGUGCUCCUUAUGCUUAAGAAACACCGUGAAGGCCAACGUGGUUGGAGCAAUGUGAGCAAGAAGAAUAGAGGGGCCUUGGGAACAUAGGUAGCUGAGUCCUCAUGGAUCAAGCCAGCAGGUUCUCUUCAACACCCCAGCCCUGGAGAGCCGCAGAUUGGACAACGGGCAGACUUUGUUGAACAGAUGAACAACUGUGGCUAAAUCUGUUUUGGAAAAAAAAAAAAAAAAGACCUGAAGCAAUUGAUAAACAAGAGGCUGAGGUCAGUGUGAAGGAAGAAUAAAUGAGGCCAGAUUGGAGAACGUUGAAAAGUGAUGUCUGCUGGGACAAUGGCGCACAAGCAGAGGAGAUAUUCAUCAGCUGUACAUCUGCUGUUCCUUGCUGCCCCACAAGCCCAGAAUUCUGGUUGUCUUACAAUGUUCGGAGGUUCAGUGACAUGUGUGUUUCAUCUUUGAUUGGUAAGUGGGGGUGCUGACAGCCCUGAGAGGUCACAUUUUCCAUUCAAACCAGAACUUGUUUUGAAUGCAGAAAAAAAGGCAAUGGCAUUCUAAAAAAUGUGAAUGACCAGGGAAAUGGAUCAUAUAUCUUUUCUUACUUGUUAUAUUUCCCUGUAUUAGCUAAUCACAUAUGCUGAACAUGAAGACGUAGAAGAAAUGGGAAAUAUUGGGCAAUGUAUAGUUCUUUUUCCUUUCAGCCAUUCCUUGCUCAUCACUAAGCUGAAGAUAGAGUGUUGGUAGAAUGCUUACAUAUCAAGGAAUAAAAGCAAUUGAGCUGGUUGUGCAGUGUUUCCAAUAUUCUGGUAAGAACAAA
rnacentral:lncRNA from 1 species